UACGUAGGGUGCAAGCGUUGUCCGGAAUUAUUGGGCGUAAAGAGCUCGUAGGCGGUUUGUCGCGUCUGCUGUGAAAAUCCGAGGCUCAACCUCGGACCUGCAGUGGGUACGGGCAAACUAGAGUGCGGUAGGGGAGAUUGGAAUUCCUGGUGUGGCGGUGGAAUGCGCAGAUAUCAGGAGGAACACCAAUGGCGAAGGCAGAUCUCUGGGCCGUAACUGACGCUGAGGAGCGAAAGCGUGGGGAGCGAACAGGAUUAGAUACCCUGGUAGUCCACGCCGUAAACGGUGGGAACUAGAUGUGGGGUCCGUUCCACGGAUUCCGUGUCGCAGCUAACGCAUUAAGUUCCCCGCCUGGGGAGUACGGCCGCAAGGCUAAAACUCAAAGGAAUUGACGGGGCCCCGCACAAGCAGCGGAGCAUGCGGCUUAAUUCGACGCAACGCGAAGAACCUUACCAAGGCUUGACAGUUAGAGAAAAGCUACAGAGAUGUAGUGUCCGCAAGGGCUCUAUUCAGGUGGUGCAUGGUUGUCGUCAGCUCGUGUCGUGAGAUGUUGGGUUAAGUCCCGCAACGAGCGCAACCCUCGUUCUGUGUUGCCAGCAUUUAGUUGGGGACUCACAGGAGACUGCCGGGGUCAACUCGGAGGAAGGUGGGGAUGACGUCAAAUCAUCAUGCCCCUUAUGUCUUGGGCUGCACGCAUGCUACAAUGGCCGGUACAAAGGGCUGCGAUACCGUAAGGUGGAGCGAAUCCCAAAAAGCCGGUCUCAGUUCGGAUUGAGGUCUGCAACUCGACCUCAUGAAGUUGGAGUUGCUAGUAAUCGUAGAUCAGCAACGCUACGGUGAAUACGUUCCCGGGGCU
rnacentral:rRNA from 1 species